UACGGAGGAGGCAAGCGUUAUCCGGAAUUAUUGGGCGUAAAGCGUCCGUAGGUGGCUCUUCAAGUCUGCUGUCAAAGAGUGGGGCUUAACCCUGCAAAGGCAGUGGAAACUGAAAGGCUAGAAAGCCGUAGGGGUAGAGGGAAUUCCCGGUGUAGCGGUGAAAUGCGUAGAGAUCGGGAAGAACGCCAAGGGCGAAGGCACUCUGCUAGGCCUGAUUUCGCGACUGACACUCAGGGACGAGAGCCAGGGGAGCGAAUGGG
rnacentral:rRNA from 1 species